AACGAACGCUGGCGGCGUGCCUAACACAUGCAAGUCGAACGAGAAAGGGGCUUCGGCUCCGAGUAAAGUGGCGCACGGGUGAGUAACACGUGGGUAACCUGCCUCUAAGAUUGGGAUAACUCGUCGAAAGAUGAGCUAAUACCGAAUAAGACCACAGUUCCCGCGGGAACAGGGGUCAAAGGUAGCCUCUGCUUGCAAGCUAUCACUUAGAGAUGGGCCUGCGCACCAUUAGCUAGUUGGUAGGGUAACGGCCUACCAAGGCAAAGAUGGUUAGCUGGUCUGAGAGGAUGAUCAGCCACACUGGAACUGAGACACGGUCCAGACUCCUACGGGAGGCAGCAGUGGGGAAUAUUGCGCAAUGGGCGAAAGCUUGACGCAGCAACGCCGCGUGAGUGAUGAAGGCCUUCGGGUCGUAAAGCUCUAUCGGGAGGAACGAAUGCUCCUGAGGUUAACAGCCUCGGGAGGUGACGGUACCUUCAAAGGAAGCACCGGCUAACUCUGUG
rnacentral:rRNA from 1 species